UACGUAGGGUGCAAGCGUUGUCCGGAUUUAUUGGGCGUAAAGCGCGUGUAGGCGGCCAGAUAGGUCUGCUGUGAAAACUCGAGGCUCAACCUCGAGCUGUCGGCGGAAACCAUCUGGCUAGAGUCCGGAAGAGGAGAGUGGAAUUCCUGGUGUAGCGGUGAAAUGCGCAGAUAUCAGGAAGAACACCUAUGGCGAAGGCAGCUCUCUGGGACGGUACUGACGCUGAGACGCGAAAGCGUGGGGAGCGAACAGG
rnacentral:rRNA from 1 species